UCCACCCAGACUUGAUGAUCUGCACCUCU
rnacentral:piRNA from 1 species